rnacentral:rRNA from 1 species
CAGAGCUUGGAAUAACACCGGGAAACCGGUGCUAAUACCGAAUACUCUCAUUCGGCCGCAUGACUGAAUGAGGAAAGAUUUAUCACUCUGGGACGGGCUCGCGGCCUAUCAGCUUGUUGGUGAGGUAACGGCUCACCAAGGCUACGACGGGUAGCUGGUCUGAGAGGACGAUCAGCCACACUGGGACUGAGACACGGCCCAGACUCCUACGGGAGGCAGCAGUGGGGAAUAUUGCGCAAUGGGCGAAAGCCUGACGCAGCAACGCCGCGUGGAGGAUGAAGGCUCUCGGGUUGUAAACUCCUUUCAGCAGGGACGAAAAUGACGGUACCUGCAGAAGAAGCCCCGGCUAACUACGUGCCAGCAGCCGCGGUGAGACGUAGGGGGCAAGCGUUGUCCGGAUUUAUUGGGCGUAAAGAGCUCGUAGGCGGCUUGGCAAGUCGGAUGUGAAAUCUCCAGGCUUAACCUGGAGUCGCCAUCCGAUACUGCUAUGGCUAGAGUCC